UGGUGGAGUGAUUUGUCUGGUUAAUUCCGUUAACGAACGAGACCCCUGCCUGCUAAAUAGGUGUUGUAGUGCCUGUCACUGCGAUGAUCUUCUUAGAGGGACGUGCAUCCUUUUAGAUGCAGGAAGAUAGGGGCAAUAACA
rnacentral:rRNA from 1 species